AAUGAAGAAAUACCAGAGGUCACAUCAGAGCAUGUCAAAGGAAGCUUAAACCGUGCUCAAUCAGCACAGUCUAUAAACUCAACAGCCUACCCGAGAGGAUUGUUUAAAAAGUGUGUCCUCAGAACCUUUACUGUCUGUUCGGGGAAAAGGUGUUCUGCUGAAAAGAAAGUUGUCCCUUUUAGAACAGGAUGUGAUUGUGAAUGAAGAUGGAGAAAAUAAGCUUAAAAAACAAGGUGAAACUCCCAAUGAAGUCUGUAUGUUUUCAUUAGCUUAUGGCGAUAUUCCAGAAGAACGAAUAGAUGCCUCAGAUUUUGAGUGCUCUCUUUGCAUGAGGUUGUUUUUUGAGCCAGUGACAACCCCUUGUGGACAUUCGUUCUGUAAGAAUUGUCUUGAGCGUUGUUUAGAUCAUGCUCCAUAUUGUCCUCUUUGCAAAGAAAGUUUAAAAGAGUAUCUAGCUGAUAGGAGGUACUGUGUCACACAGCUGCUGGAAGAAUUAAUAGUGAAGUAUCUGCCUGAUGAACUGUCUGAGAGAAAAAAAAAUAUAUGAUGAAGAAACUGCUGAACUCUCACACUUGACCAAGAAUGUUCCAAUAUUUGUUUGCACUAUGGCCUAUCCCACUGUGCCUUGCUCUCUUCAUGUAUUUGAGCCAAGAUACAGACUGAUGAUUCGAAGAAGUAUACAAACUGGAACCAAACAGUUUGGGAUGUGUGUCAGUGAUGCACAGAGCAGUUUUGCAGAUUAUGGUUGUAUGUUACAAAUUAGAAAUGUACAUUUCUUGCCUGAUGGAAGGUCUGUGGUUGAUACAGUUAGAGGAAAGCGGUUUCGGGUUUUAAACAGAGAAAUGAAAGAUGGAUAUUGCACUACAGACAUCAAAUAUCUGGAAGAUGUAAAGGUGGAAAAUGAAGAUGAGAUUAAGAAUCUCACAGAACUUCAUGAUUUGGUAUACUCUCAAGCCUGCAGCUUGUUUCAAAAUUUAAGAGAUAGAUUUCGAAGCCAAAUUCAGCACUUUGGAUCAAUGCCCGAAAGGGAGGAAAACCUUCGGGCAACUCCUAAUGGACCUGCGUGGUGUUGGUGGCUUCUAGCAGUUCUUCCUGUAGAUCCCCGCUACCAGCUGUCAGUUUUGUCAAUGAAGUCUUUGAAAGAACAGUUGACAAAGAUACAGCAUAUACUAACCUAUUUUUCUAGAGACCAAUCUAAGUAACUAACUGCUUGGAUGUUCCUUUACAGUUACCCCAGUCUGGCUGUGUUGAUGGCCAGAUUGUCCGCUGCCUUUGCACAUCCAGUGCUGGUUUCAGAAAUGUAAUGAAACUUUUUUUUUCUUCAACCUCCUGAAUCAUGUGGUUCUGCAAAUGAAUACCUUCAACUAGGACUUGGACCACUAAGAACUUGCACAGAACAACACACGCUGAAUGUGUGUUAAACCUCUACAUUGUGUUG